rnacentral:rRNA from 1 species
ACUCAAAGGAAUUGACGGGGGCCCGCACAAGCGGCGGAGCAUGUUGCUUAAUUCGACGCAACGCGAAGAACCUUACCAAGGUUUGACAUGGCCGGAAAAGCCGCAGAGAUGCGGUGUCCUUCGGGGCCGGUCACAGGUGGUGCAUGGCUGUCGUCAGCUCGUGUCGUGAGAUGUUGGGUUAAGUCCCGCAACGAGCGCAACCCUCGUCCCAUGUUGCCAGCGGGUUAUGCCGGGGACUCAUGGGAGACUGCCGGGGUCAACUCGGAGGAAGGUGGGGAUGACGUCAAGUCAUCAUGCCCCUUAUGUCUUGGGCUGCAAACAUGCUACAAUGGCCGGUACAAAGGGCUGCGAGCCUGUGAGGGUGAGCGAAUCCCGGAAAGCCGGUCUCAGUUCGGAUCGGGGUCUGCAACUCGGCCCCGUGAAGUCGGAGUCGCUAGUAAUCGCGGAUCAGCAACGCCGCGGUGAAUACGUUCCCGGGCCUUGUACACACCGCCCGU